UUGUAAAUACAGAGCUGUGCUGAAGCUUCGUCGAGCAUGAGUCCCUCGGUAGCCACCGCGUGGAGCAGAACCCUAACUGACACAUUCUGUGACAUGGGAGUGACACAAAACCAUACUGUACUCUGAGAAUCUCAAAGCCUAACUGUGUGGUGGCAGUAGUGUACCACGGAACAGAUUCAGGAAUUAAUUAACUUUCUUUGUAUAGUCAAGACAACACUGUUAAAUACUCAGAGCCCAUACUGUUUGAGACUUUACCUGGGAGCAACGACCACGGUAGUUAUAAAAUUAGGAAAAUGGAAGGUGGACUUUCAAGACCUUAGUAUAGAAUCUGCUGUGUUCGGUCAAUCAGCAAUGGAAGGGGAGAGCUUCUUUCUGAAUGGAUGCAUCUGUCACACCAUGAAAUCAUGCCACAGCUCUUUCAGCCUCCCACCGUAUGCUCAACACAACCGCUUCUCUUGGCUUUGGGUACUGGAUUGGGACUGCUGGGACAUCUAGCUUUACAGACUGCACAGUUAUGGGAUUCUCUGCUUCUCCUGCAUGCAGUGAGCAGAACAACUUGGGCACAAACCUGGCCAUGCCGAUGGACACAUUCACAGCUACUCACUGAGGGAGUUUGCUUCCCAAAUGAUGCUUAUUCAGAAGAGAGAACCAAAAGAAAAGUUCCAGGUUUCUGGUAGCGAGUGCCAGGAACAGAAGCAGCACCAUUGCUUUGCCGUAUCCAAAGCUGGCUGUGUGCAGACUGCACUGUGUGGUUCCGGAUGAGCUCCGCCUGUUUCCCUGCCUGGUGCUUCAGGGAGCUGGUUUCUCUGUAAGAGGAACAUAUGCCCCCUGCAUUCUGUGUUAGGGGAUUAUUAAUAACCACACAGAAGUACUGAAACAGGCACGAGUAUCUCAUCUCUCUGUAAGAGUAUUCCUUUCAAAUCCAUAUUCCUCUCCUAAUGUAUUCAUGGACUCCUCUUGUCAAAAAUCACUUUUUAUAUAGAAACAAUGCAUGCCUCUGAUGUUCUAGUUCAUUGAAUCUAGCUUUCUUUGUACUCAUCAAGAAUUCAUCAAGCAGAGUGGCAUUACUUGAUCUCAGGAGUAUUUUUCCUCAGAAAUGUUAAAUGUGGAGAAUCUUAUCUCCAGCCUGUCUCUACACCAGAGGAUUUUAACCUGUGGGGCAUGAAGCCACAGGGGUCAGAUGACCAUUUCACAGGGGUAGCUUAUCAGAUAUUCUGCACAUCUGUUAUUUACAUAACAAUUUAUAUCAGUGACAAAGUUACAGUUAUGAAUUAGCAGCGAAAUAAUUUUAUGGAUGAGGGUCACCACAAGAUGAGGAAUAAAAGGUCACAGCAGGAAGUUUGAGAACCAGUCUUGAAGAAGAAGAAGGAAGUUUGCUACUUCUGUUUCAAAAGGCAAAAGCUACUUCAUAUUUUUUAAAUUUCUUUACAGCCUCAGGAUAAGAACAUGAUGACAAACUUGGCAGAGCUAAUGCCAACAACUUGAAUAAAUAAGUCAAUAAAAUAAUCAAAUAUCUAGAAAUUUGCUAGCUUCCUGCCGAAAUGUUUUAUUAGUACUGAGAAGGAACGAUGGCUUGAACUUAGUCUUCAGAAUAAAGAGUGACAUUUACAAUACUUGGCAUAGUGGGGUCCUAUUUUUAAGUUACUGUGAAAGCUGAAUAAGCAGCCAUGUGUCAGGAACAAAGAUGGCGUUGUGUCAAGACAGACCUGUUCUUGUGUCUCAGCAGGCUUCUGGAGGCUUCUCCUGCUGGCUGAUAGGUGGGUGAUCAGGGAAUGCUCACAGUAUUUAGCUAAAUUAAGAAAUUUUCAACCAGUAGCUAAAAUAUUUUAUAAUACCA
rnacentral:sRNA from 1 species